rnacentral:rRNA from 1 species
UACGAAGGGGGCUAGCGUUGCUCGGAAUCACUGGGCGUAAAGGGUGCGUAGGCGGGGCUUUAAGUCAGGGGUGAAAUCCUGGAGCUCAACUCCAGAACUGCCUUUGAUACUGAAGAUCUUGAGUUCGGGAGAGGUGAGUGGAACUGCGAGUGUAGAGGUGAAAUUCGUAGAUAUCGGAAGGAACACCUGUGGCGAAAGCGGCUCACUGGACCAUUACUGACGCUGAGGCACGAAAGCUAGGGGAGCAAACAGG